rnacentral:rRNA from 1 species
CCUACGGGUGGCAGCAGUGAGGAAUAUUGGUCAAUGGACGAGAGUCUGAACCAGCCAAGUCGCGUGAAGGAUGACUGCCCUAUGGGUUGUAAACUUCUUUUAUAUGGGAAUAAAACGUUCCACGUGUGGGAUUUUGUAUGUACCAUAUGAAUAAGGAUCGGCUAACUCCGUGCCAGCAGCCGCGGUAAUACGGAGGAUCCGAGCGUUAUCCGGCUUUAUUGGGUUUAAAGGGAGCGUAGGUGGGUUGUUAAGUCAGUUGUGAAAGUCUGCGGCUCAACCGUAAAAUUGCAGUUGAAACUGGCAGUCUUGAGUACAGUAGAGGUGGGCGGAAUUCGUGGUGUAGCGGUGAAAUGCUUAGAUAUCACGAAGAACUCCGAUUGCGAAGGCAGUUCACUGGACUGCAACUGACACUGAGGCUCGAAAGUGUGGGUAUCAAACAGGAGUAGAUACCCCAGUAGUC